CAAUAGCGUAUAUUAAAGUUGUUGCAGUUAAAAAGCUCGUAGUUGGAUUUGUGGCGUACGGUGGGUUCCGGGCACUUGUUGUCUGAGUAACUUGCUGUUGCCAUCCUUGGGUGGAACCUGUGUGGCAUUAGGUUGUCGUGCAGGGGAUGCCCAUCAUUUACUGUGAAAAAAUUAGAGUGUUCAAAGCAGGCUUAUGCCGUUGAAUAUAUUAGCAUGGAAUAAUGAGAUAGGACUUUUUUGCUAUUUUGUUGGUUUGCGCAAAGAGGUAAUGAUUAAUAGGGACAGUUGGGGGUAUUCGUAUUCCAUUGUCAGAGGUGGAAUUCUUGGAUUUUUGGAAGACGAACUACUGCGAAAGCAUUUACCAAGGAUGUUUUCAUUAA
rnacentral:rRNA from 1 species